GGGAGCCAAAGUCUCUUCUUCUUCCCCUAAAGGGGACUCCGUCUUCUUUANUUCCCCUAAAGGGGAUGAAGAAGUGUUCCCCUUCGGGGAGACGAAGGGGGUUCCCCUAAAGGGGAAGAACACACCCCUUUAGGGGAAGACUUUGGUUCCCCUUUAGGGGAUGACGAUGAAGACAACCCCGAAGGGUGACCAAAGGUUCCCCAAAGAAGAUGACAAGGAAGCCAAUCCGUAAGAGUAUUGUAGCUUAACUACGUAAAAUUCCCCUUUCGGGAAAGAAAAAGUAAAACCAUGUAGCAUUUCUAAAAACAUUUUUAACGAAUAGGCCCCCGCCAAAGCUACUCAUUAAAAUGGGCUUUGCUGAUCCUCCAAACUAUGUCUAGAUCCUAGUAAAACUGCCAAUAAUGUUUAGGUUGUUUUUUAUAACGUUUUAAUCCGUAAAAUAACUAAAAAAUUCUAUGGGGCGAAAACGAGAAAAUUCUUUACAAGUUUUUAUUUAUUAUUAAGUAUAUUUAUCAAGUAAUGGUACCUUAACUACGUUAAGCUACUAACCCGAAAGAUUGGAUUAUGUAUCAAUAACACUAAAUAAACAACUUUGGCAAAGCCAACGAGUAGCGUACGUUAUAAUACGUUAUAAAAAGUAAAGCC
rnacentral:lncRNA from 1 species